GUGAGGAAUAUUGCGCAAUGGAGGCAACUCUGACGCAGCCAUGCCGCGUGCAGGAAGAAGGCGCUACGCGUUGUAAACUGCUUUUAACCGGGAAGAAACCCCAGGACGUGUCCUGGGUUGACGGUACCGGAGGAAUAAGCACCGGCUAACUUCGUGCCAGCAGCCGCGGUAAUACGAAGGGUGCAAGCGUUAUCCGGAUCCAUUGGGUUUAAAGGGUGCGUAGGCGGAGCGGUAAGUCAGUGGUGAAAUCCUGCAGCUUAACUGUAGACUGGCCAUUGAUACUGGCGCUCUUGAGUGCGCUUGAAGUGGGCGGAAUGUGCCGUGUAGCGGUGAAAUGCUUAGAUAUGGCACAGAACACCAAUUGCGAAGGCAGCUCACUAAGGCGAUACUGACGCUGAGGCACGAAAGCGUGGGGAUCGAACAGGAUUAGAAACCCUAGUAGUCC
rnacentral:rRNA from 1 species